UGCAACUUGGCUCAACUACCCUUAUAAAUGGCCCGUCUUGGUUCUCUCUUAAAAAUUAAGGUCUUCGUCUGUGUUACUCCUGACUUUUUCUCGUGUGAAAAGAAUCCACCACACCUUCAAGUGCAUUAUGACCUUCUCCAAGAGAAUAACGAGAGUAUUUUCUCCACACGAAGAACGCUGGUGCACUUUGAGUUUCGGCACCCGGAAGCCUGAUGAUUUUAUUUUGUCACAUGGCUCCCGAGAUUUUCAAUAACAACAACAAAAAUGGCGACAUAUCACGUUGCGUUGCUCGAUGCGAGCUUGCUGCGUCAUUAAAAGAUAUUCACGUAAACACAAGAGCGAAGCAGGGAAGAAACCCAGGUGAGUAUCAUGACAACAUGUUAAAUGUGGGUUUUAGCUCGUUACCGUGGCAAUGAGGUGUUUUAUGUCUUUGUCUUAUGGAUAUACGUGUUGUUUAUUUUGGACGUGUGUGUGUGCGUGUGAGAGAGAGGGGUGUGUGCGCGCGCGACUGGGCGUUAGCGCGCGCUGUUUACGGAUAAUAGCACUCAUAACAUGUAGGAAUAACGCUUUACUAAUACCUUAAGCAUGGCCCUUUGUGCUAUUCUUUAUUAAGCUUUGCAAAAAAAAGCUUUUUAGGUACUUUCCCGAUACUAACACUAAUCGUUUAAUAGUGUGACAUGCAUCAUUUAUUAGGUUAUAACCUCACACUGCAUGGCAUUCCAGCAUGUAUUUAUCCUAACGUAGCAGAAGAUUCAAAUAACAAGCUGAGGCUCCACACGACAUAACUAAAUAUAGACUACAUGUUUUUGUUGUUGUUGUUGUUGUUGUUGUUGUUGUUAUCAUCAUUAUUGCAUCGAUUGUUCGCUUUUAACGCACAAAAAAAUGAAAUUCAGAAGUAAAUCUUAUUUAAAUGCUUGGAGAAAUUCAACUUAUUGUUUCUUCACCACUGUGUGGAUGUUGCGCAGAUACUUUAGGUAGUAUUAGGUCAUUUUGGCAGGCACUGACGCCGUCUCGUGACAGCAAAACCCCGACGAGCUGAUCGACUUGUUUACAAGAAGAGAUUUGCGCGCAGGGAGGGGCGCGUGUGGGCGGAGCGCAGCCGAGCGCGCAACGCGAUUGGACGGGCCGGAGAAGAGGCGAGCGCGGGGGCGGAGCCUACAGGAUAAUGACAAGCUGGACAUGAAGGAGGGUGGAGGGUUUGUAUAUGAGAGCUGUAGGCGUGGUAUUUAACUGUUGACGAAUUAGUAUUAUUUUGUGAUAGUUAAAGUCUCUGAUUGAAUAAAAAAAAGACAAUCUUGGGUCAUUAUAUGUAUCUUGAAAAUGCAUUUAUUUAUUAAUCCAUGUGUAAUCAGUGGCAUGUAUUCAAUGGACAAUUAUUGCAUUUCUUUAUAACAUAGAUCAAUGAUAAUGAUAUGCUAAAAACAUAGUAAAACAACACAAGAGCCCUGAUUUUAUAUAUAUAUAUAUAUAUAUAUAUAUAUAUAUAUAUAUAUAUAUAUAUAUAUAUAUAUAUAUAUAACACUGCCGCUGCUUUAUUUAUGUUAUACUUGUGUUCUGUUUACUACUUAGUAAUGAAUAUAAUGUUCAUGAGUCAUAUUAUCUUCGGGUAGCCGAGACAGUAAACAAUAUGUAAAAUAACCGACUAUGAAUACAUCUUUGUUUUUUGAGGAACAGUAAAGACACAGAGCCACUUCUCAUGCCUGGGGAUGUUCCUGUUAGCAAGUGUGUGUAAACAGGUACGAGGGCAAAUAAGACAUGGAGGUAAUAGAGCGUAAUAGACUGGAUUCACGUGUUUGUUUUACUAUUGUGAUUUUAUAUUUCACCACUUUUCGUUUUAUUCUCUAGUCAAAAUGACCUGUGUAAUAUAAAUAUAAAGUGGGAUAUAGCAUGCUGCAGAUUCCCAUUAAGUAAAUUUCUUCUUUUUCAUGUUAAGUACAGCAAAUAGGUCAAACACAUUAAGUUUCUUGUUUCUUGUUCAAAGUUUUUUUUCGACUUUGUAAAUAAACUUUCAGUAAUAAAAAAUAAAAUAAAACAGGUAAUUCUGACCGAAACAGAACACAAGGAUUGUAUACAUUUUGUGUGAAAUAUUCUAUUUUUAAAAUUAAAUAAACAGUUAUUAUACAUGACUAAAAUUCAAUUCUUGUGUUUAAAUAAACACAGUAUUUAUAAAUUUCUAAAAUUCAAACUUUCUUCUUUUUCUCUUUAGAAUUAAAAAAAAUAUUUAAUUAGUUUUUAUUUACUUGAAUCCUGUCUCCAGUGGUCGUUUAUUUCCGCCAAUCGUAUGUUUACAUACAGUAUGGCUGAAGGUAAGGUAUUUGAUGGAGAGGACGCACCCAUCUUGGCUCUUCUUGACGUGACAGGCUGCCCUUGUUCAGUUAUCACAGUGCUGAUGCUGUCCAUCUUAAAGGUACAGUACUGUGAUAACUGAAGGAUGGCAGCCAUCUUGACAUCUGGUUCUUGUGAAGAAGCUUUUCCUAUUUGAACACAUUUCGAUUGGUUUGAUUAUUGUUGUUGGUUAUUAGAAUGAACCUAAACUAAAUCUGAAAUCUAGUCAUUUCUAAUAUUUUGUAUGUGGUUACAGUUGAAUUCAAAAACACUAUUUUGUAUUGCUAUGCAAAUGUGAAAUAAAAGGCUACAUACCAUCA